UACGAAGGGGGCUAGCGUUGCUCGGAAUCACUGGGCGUAAAGCGCACGUAGGCGGAUCUUUAAGUCAGAGGUGAAAUCCUGGAGCUCAACUCCAGAACUGCCUUUGAUACUGAAAGUCUUGAGUAUGGGAGAGGUGAGUGGAACUGCGAGUGUAGAGGUGAAAUUCGUAGAUAUUCGCAAGAACACCAGUGGCGAAGGCGGCUCACUGGCCCAUAACUGACGCUGAGGCACGAAAGCGUGGGGAGCAAACAGG
rnacentral:rRNA from 1 species